UUCGUAGGGCGCAAGCGUUGUCCGGAAUCAUUGGGCGUAAAGCGCGUGUAGGCGGUCCGGUAAGUCCGCUGUGAAAGUCGGGGGCUCAACCCUCGGAUGCCGGUGGAUACUGUCGGGCUUGAGUACGGAAGAGGCGAGUGGAAUUCCUGGUGUAGCGGUGAAAUGCGCAGAUAUCAGGAGGAACACCAAUUGCGAAGGCAGCUCGCUGGGACGUUACUGACGCUGAGACGCGAAAGCGUGGGGAGCAAACAGG
rnacentral:rRNA from 1 species